rnacentral:lncRNA from 1 species
GCUUGGACUUGGCCAAGCGGCUGUCUAACUAAUCUUUUGCUUGGCCGAUCUACCAGCAGAUUGAUGGAAGUGGAUGUAAAUGCAGGCAAACACAGCUGGUUGGUUCAGGCACCGCACCAACAGGGCACAGAUGUUCCUUUGUUCUGCAGGAAGCAACGAUACAUUCACAAGAAGUGUCGGUGAGUACCCUGUUCUCUGUCCAAUUUAUUCAGCAGGUCUGGUGUGCACUUUCAUGUGUGUUUUAAGGCCCAUAAUACUCGGAGCAAAAAAAACAUGUGAUCUGAAUCUGACCUGGGUUUUCGUCUGUGAUCUUUGGUGCUUGCACAAGCAUGUGAUGAUGGUGGUAGCCCCUGGGUCUAGGUAACCAGGUAGCAGGGUCAGAUGUGAUGUGGAGGUUGGCUUAGAUGUUUAGCUACAGGUCUCGCACUGUAGUGUGUACCUGCUGCAUAUAGGACCUGCUAGCUGCAUGUGAUGGUUAUUCAACCUUGACGCCUUUACCAAACUUGAACCUCGUAUGAGAAAUGUGGUAACUAAAGCAAUAACUACUGUACUUGGAAAAUUUUUGUCUAGUGCUAGCUCCUCCUAAUAUAAUUGAAGGACUCUUUCAGAGACUGGUUUAAAUUAAGCUUCAUGCAUCUUGGUUUGAAAAA